CUGCCAUGUGAGUGUUUACUCUGCGUUCACAUUUCCCUCCACUAAGAUACUAGCUGUGGCUGCAUAGACACUGGUCACCGUCUGACUCUCACGAAUCUAUCACCAGUGGCCAUUUUUCCUUUUUACUUAACCUUAGUUAGCAUACAGUGUCGUAUUGGUUUCAGGAGUACGAUUGUGCUAGUGGCCAUUUAAACCCUCUCUUUGCAAAGCCACUGGCAGGGUUACACCUUCGGGACCUUCCUCCUCGUCCUGUAGGUAGAAGCCGGUGGAGGCCAGGAGAGGACAGUGGCCCGUCCAAGGUGGCACAGCCCCGGAACGCGGCACAGGGCGACUCACUCUUCAGGGCCGAUCGGGCUGCCUGCUGGCCAAGUUCACGUGGGUCGGGUCUGUGUCUGCUGUGACUGCAGCGGCCAGGCCGAGGCGUGCCGGCCACGGGGGAGUGUGUCUUUGUGUGGAAGCCACGGUCCAGAAGACACGACAACAGGACGGUAACGGUGACUCCUGACGACGGCCUGGUCUCUGGCGGGUCUUUGGGCCAUUAGUACGGAAGCCCGAGGUGUGCACCAGGAGGGCCAGCUCCGUGGCCGUGGCCGUGGCCGGGCACUACCUUGUUCUGGGAAUGAGCGGGGAAAGAUCCGCGUGCCUCCCCUUCGCCAGGUAAAGGUGGGCUCUUCGCAACACGGACACGUCGUCGGGAAAAGAUACGUUGCCAUGUGUGCCACGGCCGCAACGGCCGGAGUUCCGGGAUGGAUUCCUGGCGGGCUGGGUUACAAGAUGGCGGGUGGCGGGCACCCUUGGGAAGUCAGACGGCGAGACCCCCGGCGCUCUCGUGCACCCUGGGCAUCAGGAGCCCGGACGUCCGGAGAGGACUCGUCUGCCCAGGACAGCGGCGGGUCCCGCCCCGUCCGCAGACAGGCGCUGUGCGACAGCUCCCACAGAAGCUCCGAGCGCCGUCACCAUGGGUUCUUCUGCAGGAACCUCAGGUUUCCAGGGGGUAAAACAAGGAAGCACAGAUCUGGAAAGCUCCCACGCAUCACACGGGCCCCAAGGAAGAUGCUGGACCGGACACAUGUUGCUGCAGCCGCUGAGUGUGCAGGACGGGCCUCUGCCUUCUCCCGUCUCAGCACCCCGCGGCUGCAGGGCCUCGAGCCCUUGUCCACCAGACAGGAGCACGGGUGCUCAGAAAAACCACCUGGCCAUCCCCCUAGGGGCCACGUUCCGAGCAGUGUCCCCGAAAGAAGUGUCCCUGCGGUCCUGGCGGCACCCGGGGGUGCAGAGGAGGACAAGUACUGUUUGCUGCACGAGCGGGGUGUCCUAGCCCCGCUGGAGGGUGCGGAGGGAGCCGUGAGGCCGCCGCCGGCCUGUGCCGGGAGCUGGCGGGCACUGGCAGCGGUUGUGGCCUCCCCUGCGGGCUCCCCUUCCCGCCUCCCGAGUCCGCACGAGAUGCCGGAGGGGCCGCGGCUUCUGGGCAGGGCAAGACGUGGACCCAGGGCAG
rnacentral:lncRNA from 1 species